rnacentral:rRNA from 1 species
GAUGAACGCUGGCGGCGUGCCUAAUACAUGCAAGUCGAGCGAACGGACGAGAAGCUUGCUUCUCUGAUGUUAGCGGCGGACGGGUGAGUAACACGUGGAUAACCUACCUAUAAGACUGGGAUAACUUCGGGAAACCGGAGCUAAUACCGGAUAAUAUUUUGAACCGCAUGGUUCAAAAGUGAAAGACGGUCUUGCUGUCUCUUAUAGAUGGAUCCGCGCUGCAUUAGCUAGUUGGUAAGGUAACGGCUUACCAAGGCAACGAUGCAUAGCCGACCUGAGAGGGUGAUCGGCCACACUGGAACUGAGACACGGUCCAGACUCCUACGGGAGGCAGCAGUAGGGAAUCUUCCGCAAUGGGCGAAAGCCUGACGGAGCAACGCCGCGUGAGUGAUGAAGGUCUUCGGAUCGUAAAACUCUGUUAUUAGGGAAGAACAUAUGUGUAAGUAACUGUGCACAUCUUGACGGUACCUAAUCAGAAAGCCACGGCUAACUACGUG